ACUAUUGAUGAUGAUGAUCUCAUCUCAUAUGUCAUUGGUGGUUUGAAUUCUUCUUUCAAUGCUUUUGUCACUGUUGUCUCCUUUAAUACUCAAAUCAAGCCACUAACAUUUGAUGAUUUCCAAAAUGAGCUUUUGAAUC